UCAUGGCUCAGAUUGAACGCUGGCGGCAGGCCUAACACAUGCAAGUCGAACGGUAACAGAAAGCAGCUUGCUGCUUUGCUGACGAGUGGCGGACGGGUGAGUAAUGUCUGGGAAACUGCCUGAUGGAGGGGGAUAACUACUGGAAACGGUGGCUAAUACUGCAUAACGUCGCAAGACCAAAGAGGGGGACCUUCGGGCCUCUUGCCAUCAGAUGUGCCCAGAUGGGAUUAGCUGGUUGGUGAGGUAACGGCUCACCAAGGCGACGAUCCCUAGCUGGUCUGAGAGGAUGACCAGCCACACUGGAACUGAGACACGGUCCAGACUCCUACGGGAGGCAGCAGUGGGGAAUAUUGCACAAUGGGCGCAAGCCUGAUGCAGCCAUGCCGCGUGUAUGAAGAAGGCCUUCGGGUUGUAAAGUACUUUCAGCGGGGAGGAAGGUGUUGUGGUUAAUAACCGCAGCAAUUGACGUUACCCGCAGAAGAAGCACCGGCUAACUCCGUGCCAGCAGCCGCGGUAAUACGGAGGGUGCAAGCGUUAAUCGGAAUUACUGGGCGUAAAGCGCACGCAGGCGGUCUGUCAAGUCGGAUGUGAAAUCCCCGGGCUCAACCUGGGAACUGCAUUCGAAACUGGCAGGCUUGAGUCUUGUAGAGGGGGGUAGAAUUCCAGGUGUAGCGGUGAAAUGCGUAGAGAUCUGGAGGAAUACCGGUGGCGAAGGCGGCCCCCUGGACAAAGACUGACGCUCAGGUGCGAAAGCGUGGGGAGCAAACAGGAUUAGAUACCCUGGUAGUCCACGCCGUAAACGAUGUCUACUUGGAGGUUGUGCCCUUGAGGCGUGGCUUCCGGAGCUAACGCGUUAAGUAGACCGCCUGGGGAGUACGGCCGCAAGGUUAAAACUCAAAUGAAUUGACGGGGGCCCGCACAAGCGGUGGAGCAUGUGGUUUAAUUCGAUGCAACGCGAAGAACCUUACCUGGUCUUGACAUCCACGGAAGUUUUCAGAGAUGAGAAUGUGCCUUCGGGAACCGUGAGACAGGUGCUGCAUGGCUGUCGUCAGCUCGUGUUGUGAAAUGUUGGGUUAAGUCCCGCAACGAGCGCAACCCUUAUCCUUUGUUGCCAGCGGUCCGGCCGGGAACUCAAAGGAGACUGCCAGUGAUAAACUGGAGGAAGGUGGGGAUGACGUCAAGUCAUCAUGGCCCUUACGACCAGGGCUACACACGUGCUACAAUGGCGCAUACAAAGAGAAGCGACCUCGCGAGAGCAAGCGGACCUCAUAAAGUGCGUCGUAGUCCGGAUUGGAGUCUGCAACUCGACUCCAUGAAGUCGGAAUCGCUAGUAAUCGUGGAUCAGAAUGCCACGGUGAAUACGUUCCCGGGCCUUGUACACACCGCCCGUCACACCAUGGGAGUGGGUUGCAAAAGAAGUAGGUAGCUUAACCUUCGGGAGGGCGCUUACCACUUUGUGAUUCAUGACUGGGGUGAAGUCGUAACAAGGUAACCGUAGGGGAACCUGCGGUUGGA
rnacentral:rRNA from 1 species